GAUGAACGCUGGCGGCGUGCCUAAUACAUGCAAGUCGAGCGAACAGACGAGGAGCUUGCUCCUUUGACGUUAGCGGCGGACGGGUGAGUAACACGUGGAUAACCUACCUAUAAGACUGGGAUAACUUCGGGAAACCGGAGCUAAUACCGGAUAACAUGUUGAACCGCAUGGUUCAACAGUGAAAGACGGUCUUGCUGUCACUUAUAGAUGGAUCCGCGCCGCAUCAGCUAGUUGGUAAGGUAACGGCUUACCAAGGCAACGAUGCGUAGCCGACCUGAGAGGGUGAUCGGCCACACUGGAACUGAGACACGGUCCAGACUCCUACGGGAGGCAGCAGUAGGGAAUCUUCCGCAAUGGGCGAAAGCCUGACGGAGCAACGCCGCGUGAGUGAAGAAGGUCUUCGGAUCGUAAAACUCUGUUAUUAGGGAAGAACAAAUGUGUAAGUAACUAUGCACGUCUUGACGGUACCUAAUCAGAAAGCCACGGCUAACUACGUG
rnacentral:rRNA from 1 species